rnacentral:misc_RNA from 1 species
AAGGAUCAUUAGUGAAUUUGUAGCCUCCAAGGCUCACAUUCUCUAUCCUUUACACACCUGUGCACCCUUCUGAAGCGGAGAGUUAUUAGGCAUUGGCCGAGCGCCUCCCUUCGGUUAUUAUAUCAAACUCAAACUACGUUUACUAGAAUGUAUACCGUCUUGUUGUAACGACAAGUACAAUCCAAUAAAACUUUCAACAACGGAUCUCUUGGUUCUG